AGUAACACGUAAGUAAUCUACCUUCGAGUGGGGAAUAACGUCCGGAAACGGACGCUAAUACCGCAUAAUGCAGCGGCAUCGCAAGAUGACAGUUGUUAAAGAUUUAUCGCUUGAAGAGGAGCUUGCGGCAGAUUAGCUAGUUGGUAAGGUAAUGGCUUACCAAGGCUACGAUCUGUAACCGGUCUAAGAGGACGGUCGGUCACACUGACACUGAAUAACGGGUCAG
rnacentral:rRNA from 1 species